UAAGAGGGAAUUCUCCAUCCUUGGUCAUUU
rnacentral:piRNA from 1 species